CCUACGGGGGGCAGCAGUGGGGAAUAUUGCACAAUGGGGGAAACCCUGAUGCAGCGACGCCGCGUGAAGGAAGAAGUAUUUCGGUAUGUAAACUUCUAUCAGCAGGGAAGAAAAUGACGGUACCUGACUAAGAAGCCCCGGCUAACUACGUGCCAGCAGCCGCGGUAAUACGUAGGGGGCAAGCGUUAUCCGGAUUUACUGGGUGUAAAGGGAGCGUAGGCGGUUUAGCAAGUCAGAAGUGAAAGCCCGGGGCUCAACUCCGGGACUGCUUUUGAAACUGUUGAACUAGAUUGCAGGAGAGGUAA
rnacentral:rRNA from 1 species